rnacentral:tRNA from 1 species
GCGCAUGGUCUAGGGGUAUGAUUUUCGCUUCGCAUGUGAAAGGUCCGGGGUUCAAAUCCCCGUACGUCCA